AAUUCAACAAUAGUCAUGAAUAUCAUCAGGUUGACUCUGGUGGUCUUGAUGCUGAUUACUCUGCUUCUCCUGAAUCUGUGGACGAGGAAGAAGAAAACUCAGAGCUCCACCUCUGAAACAAAUGAACAUGUAGAGAUGAUAGAGUUAGACUCUGAUCCUGCGUAUGUCAGUGUCUCAGACUUUAAGAGCGUCACUGCAGCACAGACAGAAGACACAGAGCAGCAGGAAGACAUGGUGUGAAGUCCAGUCAGAUGCAGUUGAAGCAGAUUCACCUCAUGGUAGGACGGCAUUGAAACAUCACAGUAGAGCGAGUCUGUGGAGGAAGUGGAUCCAUUUACCUUCAACUCCAAAAGUUUUCCUUUUCAGUUCUCAGUAGCAGCAGCAGGGUGGAGUCAGCAGCGCAGACAGUCAGCAGCAGCAUGUAGCAGAAAAUCCUGACGAGUUUCUGUGUGCAGCUAUCAAGACAAAUAAAAUUUAAAUGUA